rnacentral:lncRNA from 1 species
ACAGCCACUAGAGGACACUUCCUGCUCUAUAGCACAGAAAACCUGUGCUACAGCGUCGCUGGACGUCCUCACGCUGUGUGAGGACCUCCAGCGUUGCUCAUUUCCCCAUAGGAAAGCAUUGAAAAGCAUUUUCAAUGCUUUCCUAUGGGGAGCUCUAAUGCGCAUGCGCGGCAUUGCCACGCAUGCGCAUUAGGUCUCCCCGGCCGGUGGGCAGGAUCAGUCUCGCCCACCG